rnacentral:tRNA from 1 species
GUUUCCGUAGUGUAGUGGUUAUCACGUUUGCCUCACAUGCAAAAGGUCCCCAGUUCGAAACUGGGCGGAAACA